UGGACUUGCCAUUCAAAUUGC
rnacentral:piRNA from 1 species